GUCUCAAAAAUAUAAUUUUUUCAAAAUAAUUUGUAGAAGAAGAAAAGAUUUCAUUGAAAACGUAAUUUCUGGAUUUAUCAGUCAGUUUAAAAGUAUUGUAAGGAGCAAAGUUCUAAAAAAGUAAUUUCAUUGCAGCCGAGGGGACGGAGGAAAUUGUCAGACUUCAACGCUUUUCCAAGAGAGAAAAACUGUAAUGUCUUUUAAAUAAACAUAUUUACAAAAGUGGCAUUUGAUUGAUAUAUUUGAAAAAUAAAGAUGUUUACUGUUCAUGGAAAAAAUAUAACAAAGUAAUUUUUUGUCACUGACCACCGUUGUUUCAUAUGAAAUAGUUUAAACUCGUCAAAUAUUUUUUUUAUUUUCCACCCAAACUCCCCCCCCCCCACACACAUUAAUACGCCCUGUGCAGUGUGCGUGCGCUUAAAUCCCGCAGUAUUUGGAAACCCUUGGUUUGACAAGGGUACGCUUACGCGCACAAGAAACAGUUAAACCACAUACUGUGCAGUGUGCACCUGCGGCCGGCAGACAUGUGACUUUCACGCUACGAAUGUGAUAGAAGUUAGAUGAUAAUAAUUCAAUUAAGAAAUGAUGCUUUAGAGAAGAAGGAGGAGAAGAGUGAAAAUAAAAGAAAGUUGGAUGGGGAGUUAUGUAGGCGCUAACAGGU